UACGUAGGGUCCGAGCGUUAAUCGGAAUUACUGGGCGUAAAGCGUGCGCAGGCGGUUUUGUAAGCCAGAUGUGAAAUCCCCGGGCUUAACCUGGGAACUGCAUUUGGGACUGCAAGGCUUGAGUACGGCAGAGGGGGGUAGAAUUCCUGGUGUAGCAGUGAAAUGCGUAGAUGUCAGGAGGAAUACCGAUGGCGAAGGCAGCCCCCUGGGUCGAUACUGACGCUCAUGCACGAAAGCGUGGGGAGCAAACAGG
rnacentral:rRNA from 1 species